rnacentral:guide_RNA from 1 species
AUAAAUACAUGGUUGAAUGAUAGAGAUGUGUAAUU